UUGCAAUUACAGGCAUGAGCCACUGUGCCUGGCUUUAACCCAGCGUUUUUGGCCAACUUACAGAGAAGCUGCAAGAGCAAAGGAUCCUGCAUUCAUUCCACGCCCCCUCCCUCUGGUCUCCUUUGUGCUGGGCAGGACCUUGGCCUCUCUCUGUGUUCCUUCACCUUGGCUUCUGAAGAAUACGCAUCUGGGAUUUCUUCGUGGUUGGAUUCGGGCCCUGCGUUCUGGCAGGAAAACCACUGGAAUGACACUACGGACUUCUGGUGCAGCUUCUCAGUGUUGGGAGGUCCACGGUGGCAGUCCGGCCCAUCAUGGAUGAGAAACCCAAGGGCCAGAGAGGGGAUGCAAUGGCCAUAGCAGCAGCAGAGCAGGGACUGAAUCCCAAGGCUGAUGACUUCGACUUCGGUGCUCCAGCAUUUGUCUCCCCUGGAUUUCUCAGCUCGCAGGCUCGAUAACUCUCUUCUCUCCCCAGACUUGUUGGCAGGCAAGAGGAAUAACUCAUGUGAGUCAAAAGCAAUUUGCAAACAUAAAUAAUUUUCAAUGCCAGGAGAGGAGACGGUGGGAAGAUGCAUGGAAGGUUGAGGGGAACACAGCCAGUCCCAGGUCUCCCUCGCCCUGCUGGGCACUUCCUCUCCCCUCCUCGGGAGAGUUGGAGUGCGCCAUAAACAAGGCAGGAAACGGCUAUCAUGAUGCUCGCUUCCGCUCUUCCUAGAAGGGAUUCUGCUCGCCGAUCUCUCCUCUCCCCACCCCCUACCAUGCACAGGAUUGUGUACUCCCAGCUCCUCUGGAGGCUCAGAGGAGGAGAGGGUCCUGCUGCACUGGCCUGGCCUCCCUCUACCUGGCUUGGCUUUUUCCUUGUCCUCAACCCCAAACAGCAAGUAUCCUAACAAAGAAUGGAUAGCACGCUAUUAUUUUUGUGACAUUCAUCUCAGUGUCAUAUUCCAAAGGAGCUUGACAUAAUUGUCCUCUUCCUAAUUUGGACACUGGUUUAUGAAAGCGUGGUGACCACUGGAGACUGUUCUCUGACUGUGUGACAGGUAUUCGCUCCUUUCCACAGGGUACUAAGGCUCACGUGGCCCUGACAGCCAGCACAGUCUCUUAGGAGGUUCCGGAGGGUGGCAGUGGGAGUGAGCGUAGAGCCGUGUCAUUUUGAAGGGCUGAGAGCGUUCCACACACCUUCCCAAAGCCCACCCCAAGAGGCUGUCUAACGCAGGGAGAAACAAUGAGAAACCAGAUACCAUGGAAUUAGUGAAGAAUUUCUCAGAUGAAACAGGAAAGGGAGGAAAUCCAGAGGGGUUUACAUUACACCUGGCUCAGGUUGAAAGGAUUCGGGGCCAGUUGUUGGCAAUAUUAAACUCCAGGCUGCGUUUGAAAGGGUCCUUCGCUCGGGCAGCCAAAGAGAGGCGUUCCUGCCAGGACAGGUUGCAUCGCUACAGAUCUCCAGCCCUACGUGCACACACACGUGCACACACACACGCAUGCACACACAUGCAUCUUGGACAUCUCUUGUUAAUGUCAGCCCUCUGCCCCAAACUAGAUUUGAAAACUUGUAGGCAAUCAAGUUUUCUGGUUAAGAGAAAAAAUCACAGCGAACAGUUAGUAAGCUCUUAUGUGUCAGGCCUUAUCCAGACAGUUCACAUGAAGACCAGAUCCAAAAAUCAAAGUGUGCUUUGUCCUCUGUG